CUCCAAGUUCAUAUGACAGACGCUCAGAUAUAAUUUUCGAUGACAGGCCUUGUUUUGCCAUCUCUAAAAUCACAUCUGAGUACUGUUCCAACGUCAUGAUGAUGGUCCAGUCUACACACCAGUGACCAGUUGACUCGUGUUUGCUACAAGUGGCGCAUUACCUGACCAGGUUGUUGACCUACAAAAACGUCCGGUUCAAAUAAAAUAAAUAAAGGCCGUUUUCUCGUUCUCGUUUCUUACAUUUUUCUUUUCUGAUGUGCGAAAGAACAACAGGAAAAAAAAAAAAGUAAUUGUUCUGCGUUUUUCAUUUUUCCCUUUUAAGUUGAAAAUCAAAUAAGUGUCUCUUUUUCUUUUUUAAAUGAUAUUUUCUGAAAUGAAAUUUCAAAUACCAAAAAGUAC